AUUGAACGCUGGCGGCAUGCCUUACACAUGCAAGUCGAACGGCAGCACGGGAGCAAUCCUGGUGGCGAGUGGCGAACGGGUGAGUAAUAUAUCGGAACGUGCCCAGUCGUGGGGAUAACGUAGCGAAAGCUACGCUAAUACCGCAUACGAUCUAUGGAUGAAAGCGGGGGAUCGCAAGACCUCGCGCGAUUGGAGCGGCCGAUAUCAGAUUAGGUAGUUGGUGAGGUAAAGGCUCACCAAGCCGACGAUCUGUAGCUGGUCUGAGAGGACGACCAGCCACACUGGGACUGAGACACGGCCCAGACUCCUACGGGAGGCAGCAGUAGGGAAUUUUGGGACAAUGGGCGCAAGCCUGAUCCAGCAAUGCCGCGUGCAGGAUGAAGGCCUUCGGUUGUAACU
rnacentral:rRNA from 1 species